rnacentral:rRNA from 1 species
GACGAACGCUGGCGGCGUGCCUAAUACAUGCAAGUAGAACGCACAGUUUAUACCGUAGCUUGCUACACCAUAGACUGUGAGUUGCGAACGGGUGAGUAACGCGUAGGUAACCUGCCUGGUAGCGGGUGAUAACUAUUGGAAACGAUAGCUAAUACCGCAUAAUAUUAAUUAUUGCAUGAUAAUUGAUUGAAAGAUGCAACUGCAUCACUACCAGAUGGACCUGCGUUGUAUUAGCUAGUAGGUGAGGUAACGGCUCACCUAGGCGACGAUACAUAGCCGACCUGAGAGGGUGAUCGGCCACACUGGGACUGAGACACGGCCCAGACUCCUACGGGAGGCAGCAGUAGGGAAUCUUCGGCAAUGGACGAAAGUCUGACCGAGCAACGCCGCGUGAGUGAAGAAGGUUUUCGGAUCGUAAAGCUCUGUUGUAAGAGAAGAACGGGUGUGAGAGUGGAAAGUUCACACUGUGACGGUAUCUUACCAGAAAGGGACGGCUAACUACGUG